UAAUAAUAGUGAUUACACAAAAACAGUAUAUGAUAAUUAUGCACUUAUUAUGGCGUUGCCGAUCUCAAAGCCGGUAUUAUCUGUAGAUUCAAUCGAUUUCUUUGGCAGAGUUACAGUUCAUUCAGAUAAAUUAACUUCAGGUGUGGAGCUGAGCUCUACAGGGCUGCAUUGAAACAAAAAAAUAUUAGGAGGCUUCAACAUUGUGCCAAAUUGCGUCUUUCUCAGAUAGUCUCGCGUGGCCUGACCUUCAGACUGAUGGCAGAAGGUUCAGGAUCCUUGGCUGCUUUGAACGGCCAAGCCCCGCCCAAGAGGCCCUAUGACUGACAG
ensembl:lncRNA